UUUUCAUUGUUAAAGUAUUUAUGAUUUUUUUUUCGUGUUUAUUAUUGAUUUGUUUGCCUUUCAAUUGAUGUGGCUUUGAUUUCUUACUUUAGAAGAUGAUAAAAACCCUCUUUUUGUAGUAGUGUGAUGUUGAUAUCUACCAAGGCCAGAUCGUAUUCAAGCUAGGAAAAAUUUGAAUAUUAGGUUUCGAUAUAUGGCGGUUUCGGAUGAAAGACAAUGGCUCAUGCCAAUGUUUGAAGAUCGCGAAAAGGCUUGGAGAAGUUUAUGGGAGUGAUGGAUAAAGUCAACAACUGGAGGAAAGCUUUAGCUGCAAUUGCUAAUAUAUACACCUGGCUGGCAUAUCACGGCCGACAGCGGGCAUUGAUAGGUGGAGAUGAUGCCUACUUUGUGGCUGGCAGCAAAUGGCUAGGGGUGGCUAGUGGAGUUUGCCAGUGGUCAUUUGAAGGCACUAGUUCAGGAGUUUACGCCCAAGAGCUCAUGAAGACUUGUGAAGAGAUUGUGUUGGAUACCUGCAGUGUUCCAGUGACUAACCCUUUUA